GUCCCAGUAGCUCAGUAGGAUAGAGCAACGGCCUUCUAAGCCGUAGGUCGCAGGUUCGAAUCCUGCCUGGGACACCA
rnacentral:tRNA from 1 species